AACGAACGCUGGCGGCAUGCCUAACACAUGCAAGUCGAACGAAGGUUUCGGCCUUAGUGGCGCACGGGUGCGUAACACGUGGGAAUCUGCCCUUUGCUUCGGAAUAACAGUUAGAAAUGACUGCUAAUACCGGAUAAUGUCGCAAGACCAAAGAUUUAUCGGCAAAGGAUGAGCCCGCGUAAGAUUAGGUAGUUGGUGGGGUAAUGGCCUACCAAGCCGACGAUCUUUAGCUGGUCUGAGAGGAUGAUCAGCCACACUGGGACUGAGACACGGCCCAGACUCCUACGGGAGGCAGCAGUGGGGAAUAUUGGACAAUGGGCGAAAGCCUGAUCCAGCAAUGCCGCGUGAGUGAUGAAGGCCUUAGGGUUGUAAAGCUCUUUUACCCGGGAUGAUAAUGACAGUACCGGGAGAAUAAGCUCCGGCUAACUCCGUGCCAGCCGCCGCCGUAA
rnacentral:rRNA from 1 species